UACCAGCACCCCGAGUGGUCGGGACGAUUAUUGGGCCUAAAGCAUCCGUAGCCGGUUUUACAAGUCCCCCGUUAAAUCCAGCUGCUUAACAGAUGGGCUGCGGAGGAUACUAUAAGACUAGGAGGCAGGAGAGGCAAGCGGUACUCAGUGGGUAGGGGUAAAAUCCGUUGAUCCAUUGAAGACCACCAGUGGCGAAGGCGGCUUGCCAGAAUGCGCUCGACGGUGAGGGAUGAAAGCUGGGGGAGCGAACCGG
rnacentral:rRNA from 1 species